rnacentral:tRNA from 1 species
GCAGACGUAGCUCAAUCGGUAGAGCACCGCGCCAGGAGGUAGAUGCAGGUUCAAACCCUGCCGUCUGCACCA